AUUGAACGCUGGCGGCAUGCCUUACACAUGCAAGUCGAACGGCAGCACGGGUGCUCGCCCCUGGUGGCGAGUGGCGAACGGGUGAGUAAUACAUCGGAACAUGUCCUGUAGUGGGGGAUAGCCCGGCGAAAGCCGGAUUAAUACCGCAUACGAUCCACGGAUGAAAGCGGGGGACCUUCGGGCCUCGCGCUAUAGGGUUGGCCGAUGGCUGAUUAGCUAGUUGGUGGGGUAAAGGCCUACCAAGGCGACGAUCAGUAGCUGGUCUGAGAGGACGACCAGCCACACUGGGACUGAGACACGGCCCAGACUCCUACGGGAGGCAGCAGUGGGGAAUUUUGGACAAUGGGCGAAAGCCUGAUCCAGCAAUGCCGCGUGUGUGAAGAAGGCCUUCGGGUUGUAAAGCACUUUUGUCCGGAAAGAAAUCCUUGACUCUAAUACAGUCGGGGGAUGACGGUACCGGAAGAAUAAGCACCGGCUAACUACGUG
rnacentral:rRNA from 1 species